rnacentral:rRNA from 1 species
UUGACCUCGAAUCAGGUAGGACUACCCGCUGAACUUAAGCAUAUCAAUAAGCGGAGGAAAAGAAACUAACAAGGAUUCCCCUAGUAACUGCGAGUGAAGCGGGAAAAGCUCAAAUUUAAAAUCUGGUGGUCUUUGACUACCCGAGUUGUAAUCUAGAGAAGCGUUAUCCGCGCUGGACCGUGNACAAGUCUCCUGGAAUGGAGCGUCAUAGAGGGUGAGAAUCCCGUCUUUGACACGGACUACCAGGGCUUUGUGAUGCGCUCUCAAAGAGUCGAGUUGUUUGGGAAUGCAGCUCUAAAUGGGUGGUAAGUUCCAUCUAAAGCUAAAUAUUGGCGAGAGACCGAUAGCGAACAAGUCCCGUGAGGGAAAGAUGAAAAGAACUUUGGAAAGAGAGUUAAACAGUACGUGCAAUUGUUGAAAGGGUAACGCUUAAAGUCAGUCGCAUUGGCUCAGGGAUCAACCUUGCUUUUGCUUGGUGCACUUCCUGGUUAAUGGGUCAGCAUGCAAUUUUGACCAAUGGAAAAAGGUUAAGGGAAUGUGGCAUCUCCGGAUGUGUUAUAGCCCNUGGUUGUAUACAUUGGUCGGGAUUGAGGAACUCAGCACGCCGCAAG